rnacentral:rRNA from 1 species
GAUGAACGCUGGCGGCGUGCCUAAUACAUGCAAGUCGAGCGAACAGACGAGGAGCUUGCUCCUCUGACGUUAGCGGCGGACGGGUGAGUAACACGUGGAUAACCUACCUAUAUGACUGGGAUAACUUCGGGAAACCGGAUCUAAUACCGGAUAAUAUAUUGAACCGCAUGGUUCAAUAGUUAAUUACGGUUUUUCUGUCACUUAUAGAUUGAUCCGCGCCGCAUUAGCUAGUUGGUAAGGUAACGGCUUACCAAGGCAACGAUGCGUAGCCGACCUGAGAGGGGGAUCGGCCACACGGGAACGGAGACACGGUCAAGAGUACUACGGGAGGAAGCAGAAGGGAAUGUUAGGAAAUGGGGGAAAGCAUGACGGAGCAAAGCCGAGUGAGAGAUGAAGGUCUUCGGAGCGUAAAACUCUGUUAUUAGGGAAGAAAAAAAGUGUAAGUAAAUAUGCACGAAUUGACGGUAACUAAUCAGAAAGCAACGGCUAACUACGUG